UAAAUCAUAGCUUAAUGGUAAAGUAUCGGAUUGCCAUACUGAAUUUUCUGGGUUCAAGUCCUGAUGUUAUAG
rnacentral:tRNA from 1 species